rnacentral:tRNA from 1 species
GAGGGUGUAACUCAGGGGUAGAGUGCGUGCUUAGCAUGCACAAGGUCCUGAGCUCAAUUCCCAGUAUCUCUG